UACAGAGGCCCCAAGCGUUACUGAGAAUCACUGGGUUUAAAGGGUGCGUAGGUGGCGCGUUAAGUCCGUUGUGAAAUCCCUUGGCUCAACCAAGGAAUGGCUUCGGAUACUGGCGUGCUUGAGGCUGGUAAGGGUCACUGGAACUGACGGUGGAGCGGUGAAAUGCGUAGAUAUCGUCAGGAACGCCAAUGGUGAAGACAGGUGACUGGGCCAGUUCUGACACUGAGGCACGAAAGCGUGGGGAGCGAACGGG
rnacentral:rRNA from 1 species